CUUCCGAGUGCAGUGAGGCAUACAUCACAAUUUGGAAUUAUGCAUUGGUUUAUCAAUUUACUUGUUUAUUGUCACCCUGCUGCCCAGAUAUGACUUCAUGAGGUCUCGCUCUGUCGCCCAUGCUGGAGUGCAAUUGCGUGAUCUCAGCUAACUGCACUUUCCGCCUCCUGGGUUCAAACAGUGAUGUGUGUUCUGAAAUUGUGAACCAUGAGUCUAGUACUUAAUGAUCUGCUUAUCUGCUGCCGUCAACUAGAACAUGAUAGAGCUACAGAACGAAAGAAAGAAGUUGAGAAAUUUAAGCGCCUGAUUCGAGAUCCUGAAACAAUUAAACAUCUAGAUCGGCAUUCAGAUUCCAAACAAGGAAAAUAUUUGAAUUGGGAUGCUGUUUUUAGAUUUUUACAGAAAUAUAUUCAGAAAGAAACAGAAUGUCUGAGAAUAGCAAAACCAAAUGUAUCAGCCUCAACACAAGCCUCCAGGCAGAAAAAGAUGCAGGAAAUCAGUAGUUUGGUCAAAUACUUCAUCAAAUGUGCAAACAGAAGUAAGUGAUGUUAUAAAUUAUAAAUAAAUGGCUUAACAGA
rnacentral:lncRNA from 10 species